CAUAUAAGACGAGAAGACCCCAUGGAGCUUUAAACCCAACAGCACCUAUUCUUUUUAAAUCCACUUAUUCUUAUAGUAAGUGCUUGCUUGGUUUUAGGUUGGGGUGACCGCGGAGUAAAAAUGAGCCUCCACGAAAAAAGGCAUAAAAGCCUUAUCAAAGAAUCACACUUCUAUGAAUUAGUAAACUAAUUUUUGAUGAUCCGAUAUUCGAUCAACGAACCAAGUUACCCUGGGGAUAACAGCGCAAUCCACCUCAAGAGCUCCUAUCGACAA
rnacentral:rRNA from 1 species